rnacentral:lncRNA from 1 species
GGCUUUUUUUAUUUUGAGUAUCCUAACUCCAAACCUAGUGUUCUUUUCACUCCAUUAUCCUGCUGUUUAUAGCAAAUCAAGACCCAUAAUGAUACGUCUUUCAUUUAUUUCAGUUCUGCCAAGGAAAGAGAAAAUACCUUUUAAUCCCAGGGAAAGGAUUGCAAUCACCACAUUAUAAGGUAUAUGGCGUGGAAUGCAGAAUUCUAAAUACUAGAAGGGAAAAGUAGUUGGCAGAUUCAUCAGAGGCUUAAGGAUAAGUACUUGUUUCCAAUUUAAAAGUAUAAUUAGGAUUGUCUUUAAUGUUCUCUAGAAAUACUAUAAUUAAUCUAGAGAUCUAUCAAUGGUCACAUCUCAGUUUUUUUCUUCCCUGAGAUUCAAAGACGUGUAAUACCAAUACUUCAGAUUCCUAUAGUAUUUGGGACUUUGUAGACUAGUGAAUAGAUACUUUGUUGCUAGUCCAAAUCCUCUGAUUUUGGUUUGAUUUGUCCUAGCAGAUCCCUGAACUUCAGAGAGUAUUGCCAUUUGGAUUCAUGGAGUUGGCGAACUGCUACACUGCUACCUUGUGUAUGGCUCUAAGCUUUGAUCCUAAUGACUGGUUGAUGAUCAUGAUAAUAUUAGGGCCAGUGAAUAUAGCUCAUAGUGAUAAUAAGGAUUCUAGGGUAUUUUUUUUUUCUUUUAGAAAAAGAUCCUGGAAGUUUAUUUGAUCUGACAUGUUUUUGUAAUAUUUAGAAAUAGCUCUUGUAUCAUAAAAAGUUGCCCAGUAUAAGACACACAAGAUGUAUUUUUUUCUCUGGUGAAAAUCAUGCCUAUCACUAGUAUAUGUUUGACAUUUGUAGUAUACUUAAAAUAGUAUUGGGUGUGAGGCAUGGUGGUGAUGAAAAGUAGUCCUUACGGCUACUUGUUAGUCAUUAGAGAGAACAUGGAGAAGGGGUCAAAGUUGGUAUCAUUAACAGGGCAAUGACUUGACCCUUCUUUCAACUGAUCUUACUGGUAGUUGUCUCUAGUUUUUAAGUAAAUUAAUGAUGGACCAUCCCCCAAACAGAGAACUAUGGGGGUAUGAAACAAGGCUGAAGGCUUUUAACCAUGGGAGAAAAAGGUGUUGGUAUUAUUCAUAUAGCAUAACCUGAGGUUGGAGAGGACCACUUGGGAGCCUGUAACCAAAACUAGAAGGUAACUUCUGGGAUGGACGGAGGUUCCCUUGAAGCAGUGCCAACCUAAAUCUACCUCAGGUAAGUAGUUAGAUUAACUUUUUCAAGAUUUCAGACCAAACAAGACAACUUGUAUUCAGUUGAUGUAUUCCUAUGCUUUAAUGUUUUUGUUUGCCCUUAAUUAUUAAAUAAACAUUUGUUCUGAAAAAAAAAAAAAAAAAA